UUAUAUGAUCAAGUAAUUAAGAGCACAAGGCGGAUGCCUUGGCAGCUGAAGGCGAUGAAGGACGUAGUAACUUGCGAUAAGCUUCGGGGAGGUGGUAAACAACCUUUGAUCCGGAGAUUUCCGAAUGGGAGAACCCAGUGUGCAUAAGCACAUUAUCUUAUACUGAAUACAUAGGUAUAUGAGGCAAACCUAGGGAACUGAAACAUCUAAGUACCUAGAGGAAAAGAAAUCAAAAGAGAUUCCGGUAGUAGCGGCGAGCGAAACCGGAGUAGCCCUUAAGCUUUUUUAAGAUUAGCAAAACAGAUUGGAAAGUCUGGCCAUAGUAGGUGAUAGCCCUGUAUGCGAAAAUCUUUUAAGAGUGAAAUCGAGUAGGUCGGGACACGUGAAAUCUUGACUGAACAUGGGGGGACCAUCCUCCAAGGCUAAAUACUCUCAGCUGACCGAUAGUGAACCAGUACCGUGAGGGAAAGGCGAAAAGAACCCCGGCAAGGGGAGUGAAAUAGAACCUGAAACCUUGUGCUUACAAGCAGUCGGAGCAGACUUGUUCUGUGACGGCGUACCUUUUGUAUAAUGGGUCAACGACUUAAUUUCAGUAGCAAGCUUAACCGUUUAGGGGAGGCGCAGGGAAACCGAGUCUUAAUAGGGCGCUCAGUUGCUGGAAUUAGACCCGAAACCGGGUGAUCUAUCCAUGGCCAGGGUGAAGGUUAGGUAACACUGACUGGAGGCCCGAACCCACUUAUGUUGAAAAAUGAGGGGAUGAGCUGUGGAUAGGAGUGAAAGGCUAAUCAAACCCGGAGAUAGCUGGUUCUCUUCGAAAACUAUUUGGGUAGUGCCUCAUGUAUUACCAUUGGGGGUAGAGCACUGUUUCGGCUAGGGGGUCAUCCCGACUUACCAAACCGAUGCAAACUCCGAAUACCAAUGAGUACGAGCAUGGGAGACAGACUGCGGGUGCUAACGUCCGUAGUCGAGAGGGAAACAACCCAGACCGUCAGCUAAGGUCCCAAAUUAUGAUUAAGUGGGAAACAAUGUGGGAAGGCACAAACAGCUAGGAGGUUGGCUUAGAAGCAGCCAUCCUUUAAAGAAAGCGUAAUAGCUCACUAGUCGAGUCGGCCUGCGUGGAAGAUAUAACGGGGCUAAAUCAUAAACCGAAGCUACGGAUCUUAAAUUUAUUUAAGAUGGUAGAAGAGCGUUCUGUAAGCGGUUGAAGGUGUGCUGUAAGGCAUGCUGGACGUAUCAGAAGUGCGAAUGUUGACAUGAGUAACGAUCAAAGAGGUGAAAAACCUCUUCGCCGAAAAUCCAAGGUUUCCUGUCCAACGCUAAUCGUGGCAGGGUGAGUCGGCUCCUAAGGCGAGGGCGAAAGCCGUAGUCGAUGGAAAACAGGUUAAUAUUCCUGUACUUCUUAUAAUUGCGAUGGGGUGACGGAGAAGGUUAGGCUAGCACGGCGACGGUUGUCCGUGUUCAAGGUUGUAGACUGAGAUUCUAGGUAAAUCCGGAAUUUCUUAAGGUCAAGAACUGAUAACGACCACUCUUUGAGUGGGAAGUAGUCGAUACCAUGCUUCCAGGAAAAACCUCUAAGCUUCAGAUUAUAAGAAACCGUACCCCAAACCGACACAGGUGGAUAAGUCGAGAAGACUAAGGUGUUUGAGAGAACUAUGGUGAAGGAACUAGGCAAAAUGGUACCGUAACUUCGGGAGAAGGUACGCCACCAUUGGUGAUGAGACUUGCUCUUUAAGCUGAUGGUGGUCGAAGAUACUAGGUGGCUGCGACUGUUUAUUAAAAACAUAGCACUCUGCAAAAUCGUAAGAUGACGUAUAGGGUGUGACGCCUGCCCGGUGCCGGAAGGUUAAUUGAUGGGGUUAGCUUCGCGAAGCUCCUGAUCGAAGCCCCGGUAAACGGCGGGCCGUAACUAUAACGUCCUAAGGUA
rnacentral:rRNA from 1 species